AACGAACGCUGGCGGUGCGCCUAACACAUGCAAGUCGAGCGCGAAAGUCCCUUCGGGGGCGAGUAGAGCGGCGGACGGGUGAGUAAUACAUGGGUAAUCUACCCCCGAGCUUGGGAUAACCCCGCGAAAGCGGGGCUAAUACCUGAUAAGACCACAUAACACAAGUUGUGUGGUAAAAGGUGGCUUGAAUUUAUUCUAGCUAUCACUUGAGGAUGAGUCCAUGGCCUAUCAGCUUGUUGGUGAGGUAAGAGCUUACCAAGGCUAUGACGGGUAGCUGGUCUGAGAGGACGACCAGCCACACUGGGACUGAGACACGGCCCAGACUCCUACGGGAGGCAGCAGUGGGGAAUAUUGGACAAUGGGCGAAAGCCUGAUCCAGCAAUGCCGCGUGAGUGAAGAAGGUCUUCGGAUUGUAAAGCUCUUUCACGGGUGAAGAUAAUGACGGUAACCCGAGAAGAAGCCCCGGCUAACUUCGUG
rnacentral:rRNA from 1 species